AAAAUUGAGAGUUUGAUCCUGGCUCAGGAUGAACGCUGGCGGCGUGCCUAAUACAUGCAAGUCGAACGCCUUGUCGUAAUUAUGAAUUGAAGUGCUUGCACGGAUAUGAUUAAUUGCAUU
rnacentral:rRNA from 1 species